ensembl:lncRNA
CUCCGUUUUGAGCACAGCCCCCGGGCGGCCACCUUUGACCUCUGAAGCUCCGCCUUCCCGCACCCUCCCGCCACUUCCUGCCGGCCUCCUGCCAGCCUCCCUGGAUCACUGUGUCCCUUUCCUCCCUGGGCCCUCUGGAAACCACACUGCAAGCGUUUCCGGUCUCUUGCACGCAGGGCCCCUCUUUGGGGGUAUUUAUUGUUGCCUGAAGCUCUGUUUCAUUUCCCUCUCCUGUGCUUAGAGGACCAAGCCCCUCUUGACCUCUACACUACUUCUUCCAGCAGCUUCUCCGGCCUCCUGCCCCUCUGACCUGGGUCUCUCUUCCUCCUGCUUCCACAUCAGGACAUUCACGCGCCCACGUGAGGACACCCCACGCGCCUCCUGCGUCCACACCCAGGGUCGGGAGUGACCCUCAUGGGGCUGUGGAGGAGCAGGGCCAGCCUGGGCUCUGCAGAGCUGAGUCCAUGGUCCACCUGCAAAGCGUAGCUGUUGCCACGGGCAACAGAGCAGCCGCCUCCCUGCCUACCCUGUGCACAUGAAGGGGCAGGCUUCCGAGGUGUGGGCCACACACGGCUUUCUCCAGGGGACCCUACCCCUACCCUGCUCCGACCGCGGCUCUCCGAGGCAGCAGCACCAGGCUGCGUGGAGGCCACAGGCUCCCGCUCUCAUCUCCAUUCCCAGCCACCCUGCAGGAAGCUGACCCGCUCCUGAGCACCUCCCCGCAGCACGGCAGGAUCCACUUGCUCCAGGACAAGGCCGGGCAAGCGCUCGGAGACCCCCGCCCUGGACGUCGCUUACUGACUGCAACAGCCCUCCCUGGAUGAGUGGAAGUCCGUAGAAAGUCCAGAAAACACCAGGUAACCCCCUCAAAACCAUCACUCAGGUAAAAACGGACACAUCUGAGGACUUUUCAGGACCGACCCACACCUUUUACAGCUGCUUCUGAUUGGAGUCUUGCUUCAUGAACAAAAUCCGGUAAGCUCAACAGUGCAAGUAAUUCCAACCCUGAGAGCACGCUAGCUCGCUUCUCCCUGGGAACAUGGAAGCAUUGUUCAGCAUGAUGCCAUUCAGUGCAACCCAGGUAAAUCACAGCCAAUCAACAAACUAUUGCAAUUCUACCGAAUUCAUAGGCCUGGAGAUGUGAACCUUAAUCAAAUCUAACUCUGGACUUAAGCUUUGAAUGUAUUAGAGGAGAAACAAGUGAAUAAGUACGAGAGAGGGGGAGUUUGGGGCAGUUGCGUGGAAGAGGGAGAAGGUGUGUCGGGCAGAGUCGUGCAGAAUGGACAUGGACUGGAAGGGCUGCAGCGCUGUCCCGGGGAAGCUGACUCAGAAGAUGCAUGUGGGAGCUGAAAACAGACUGAGCCCCAAUUUGUGAUCCCCUGAGUAGCCCCGCUCACAGUCCAGAGCUGGAGACCGGGCCCCACACACUGGAUCACCUGCUGGACCAUUGAUUGGCACCUCACCAGGGCUCCCGUGCACAGAAACAGGAGCGAGUCUCUUCUGCAGCCCUAUCCCGGCAGCCCCCUCAAAAGCCACAGCUGAACUAAAAGCCACUUCCCGUGUUGCUUUCUGCACUGGUCCUGGAAAGGCCACCCCCAAAUCCCCAGCGGGAGCCAAGACACGCCGUGCCUGAGGGGGGCUCUUGAGGCACCAGUGGCUGCUGGAGCCCCCAGUGCUCCACGAUGGCCCCAGCCUCCCAAUCUCAGCUCCGCAUCCCCAGUCCAAGCGUGUGCUCCCCCAGACCAGGCUGCUGUGUUCUCUGGACCUGGACCUCGGCCUGGGCCAGUGGCAGCUGCUGCAGAGCAGCUCCACCCACAGGGACCUCGGGACUCAGAGCUGAGGCCCAGGGACAGUGCCGGGCUCUGACGGCCCAGGUCACCCUCAGAUUUCCCAACUGCAGCUGAAGAAGGAGCCAGGUAGAAGCUUCUCCUGUUUUCCUAGGGAGCCACCUUGGAUAGCACUUCCUCACAGAAGGCCUGCUGAGACACCUCCGUGACCAUGGGGAACCCAUAAAAAGGCAGCAGGAUGCCACUUUGUAUCCAUCCCCGACCCGGGUCAGCUGCACCCUGCCUGGUGCAGGUAGGAAGUCGAGCCUGCUGUUCUGUGAGCAGAGCCCAGACGUGCGCCAGGCAGUGGUGUCGUCCUGCCCAGGUGUCCUUGUAUGGACCACAAUCCCCACCACCAGGCCCCCAGCCAUAGGUCCACAGCUGCCCCGGAUUGACUGCAAGGUGGCAGUCCCUCCUCUCUGCUUUCAUUCUGCACACAUCACUCCGGAGUGCUGUUGUUUGCUUCACUUCUGUCUGCAGAGCCCGAGUGAAUCAGACCUCACGCCAGCCUCAGCCAAGCUGCGUCCUUGGAGCCAGGGCAGCGACAUCCCCUAUCCCAAAACGUGAAAUCAAGGCAGGAGUUGGAUGCACACCUGUGAUCCCAGCACUCGGAGGCUGAGACAGGAGGAUCACCAUGAGUUCAGGGCCAUCCCGGGCUACACAGUGAGUCCAAGGCCAGCCUGAACUGCACAGCGAGACCCUGUCUCAAACAAACAAACAACCAAAUAGGGCCGGGGAUUUGGCUCAGUGGUUCCACCACUUGUCCCGAAAGGACCCGAGUUCAAUCCUGGUACAAAAAACAAAACCAAACCAAACAAACAAAAACCAAAUAGCUGAAAUCCAAAAAGCUCCAAAACUGCAAAGCUCUGGGCACCGCCUGAUGCCAUACAGAGCUCCACCCUCCCUCAGGGGCAGGUGGCAUCAGAAUGUGGCACUAAAUGAUGAAUAACUGACCUUCAGGCUGUGAGCAUCAGGUAUGUCUGAAACACAAGAGACUGUUUCGGGGUCCCAGCCCCAGCACGUCCCAUCUCAUUUCCAACAUCUGGAAGCCUCUGGACUGCCGCUCUGUUCGCAGGCACUUCAGAGAAGGGACGUGGGCCCUGUGUGCAGAGAGAACACAGGAGGAAGGGAGAGCCCAGCAGGGACGAAACCAUGCAGGCGACGGCAGCGGACAGCACUUCCUGCACCCCACAUGGGAGGACUUCGAGGCCAGGGCGAAUGCCACGCCAGAGUCCGUGGGACCCAAGCAUCUGCAGGUGUUGGGCUUCCAGGGUCCAGGUCCUCUGGGAAGGGCGGGCUGCAGCUGCCUCCCCACUUGUCAGUGUCUGCGAGGAGCCCCAGGUGGCCUUGCCUUCUUGAUUCCAGCUCGUGAUGAGGACACGUGGAUCGGAUCGAGGUGACUCAGACCACUCCGGGCGGGCAGCACUCAUGCCCUUAAUCCUAGUGCCCUCGGGCCCAGCCCCACGGAGCAUCAAUCACACACUGCAGAUCCAGCCACCUCCGAAAUAGCCCGAGACCACAUGAGGCUUUGGGGGACUCGAGACACAGCCGUCACAGGUGGAAUGCUUUGCUGCUUUCAGUCGGAGAACAGUGCCUUCCGUCGUGAAAUCACAUCAUGAAAUGAUUUUGCUGUGGGGAAGACAGAAUCAGGCGAGUGCUCGAACCACAGGCCUCCCUCAGACGCAGAGCGGUGUAGCUGGGCCUCCUCACCCCUGGGGAGCUGCAGAAGAACUCAGUCUGCUCUUCUCCUAUUGGUGCGGAAUGGGACUGUCUGGGCCACAGGUUGCCUGGCUGGGCCAGGUCUCUUUACUGCUCGUUUGUGUUUGUUUGAAGUAGGGUCUCGCUAUGUAGCCCGGGCUGGCCGAGGACUCGAGCAAUCCUCUGGCCUCAGCCUCAGGGCUGGCACCACAGUCGUGGCCCUGGGGUCUCCUUCCUGGGCACAUCCUCUCUAACCCACCCUCGGGCUGGGCUUCCGCUCUCAGCUGUGUGCUGCGUGUGGUCUUUUCACUCCAGAGAUGGGCCGUGACUUUAGGCACCGUGGAGAAAGAAACAGGCUGCCCGUGGAUCCUUGGUGUCACGGUGCAAACACCCUGAGAUGUUCACAGUGAAAAACAGAACCUGAAAUCCGUGCAGAGGCUGCACAAAAUACAAAUAGGACACUACAUGGUUUCGCUUCGCUUUUCUUGUUAAUGCUGCAUCCUGAACAGCGUUUGUGUCGCUCUUUGUUCCCUAAAUCUGCCGGCCACCAGGUCGGGCACAGAUCCGCGUUUGCCUCUCCGAGCUCCCAUGAGCACCUGCAAGUCCAUGCCGGCUGGGUGAGACAACUCCACUUGCCGUCAUGUGGACAUGACUCAGUUCUUUCCGGGCCACGUUUUAGCUACAGUAAACGUCUUCGUUUACAUUUAAUGCUAUUGCUCUUUUAUUCUAACGUGAAAAAAUGUGCAUACUGAGAAAUAAACCAACCCACAGCACCA